UGUGGGAGCUGGCUUGCCUGCGAUGCGAGCACCUCGGAGCAUCAGGCACGCCGUGCCGAUGCAAUCGCAGGCAAGCCAGCUCCCACA
rnacentral:misc_RNA from 1 species